UACGUAGGGUGCGGAGCGUUGUCCGGAAUUACUGGGCGUAAAAGAGCUCGUAGGCGGUUUGUCGCGUCGUCCGUGAAAACUUGGGGCUCAACCCCAGCUUGCGGGCGAUACGGGCAGACGUUGAGUACUGCAGGGGAGGACUGGAAUUCCUGGUGUAGCGGUGAAAUGCGCAGAUAUCAGGAGGAACACCCGUGGCGAAGGCGGUUCUCUGGGACGGUACUGACGCUGAGACGCGAAAGCGUGGGGAGCGAACAGG
rnacentral:rRNA from 1 species